GACGAACGCUGGCGGCGUGCUUAACACAUGCAAGUCGAGCGGUAAGGCCCUUUCGGGGGUACACGAGCGGCGAACGGGUGAGUAACACGUGGGUGACCUGCCCUUAGCUCUGGGAUAAGCCUGGGAAACUGGGUCUAAUACCGGAUAUGACUCCAUGACGCAUGUUGUGGGGUGGAAAGCCUUGUGCGGCUAGGGAUGGGCCCGCGGCCUAUCAGCUUGUUGGUGGGGUGGAUGGCCUACC
rnacentral:rRNA from 1 species